rnacentral:rRNA from 1 species
UAGCCGUAAACGAUACUCGCUAGGUGUCGGCCACGGUGCGACCGUUGUCGGUGCCGUAGGGAAGCCGUGAAGCGAGCCACCUGGGAAGUACGGCCGCAAGGCUGAAACUUAAAGGAAUUGGCGGGGGAGCACAACAACGGGUGGAGCUUGCGGUUUAAUUGGAUUCAACGCCGGAAAUCUUACCGGGACCGACAGCAACAUGAAGGCCAAGCUGAAGACGUUGCCGGAUUAGCUGAGAGGAGGUGCAUGGCGUCAGUGACU